CAGCAGCCGCGGUAAAACGGAGGGUGCAAGCGUUAAUCGGAAUUACUGGGCGUAAAGCGCACGCAGGCGGUCUGUCAAGUCGGAUGUGAAAUCCCCGGGCUCAACCUGGGAACUGCAUUCGAAACUGGCAGGCUAGAGUCUUGUAGAGGGGGGUAGAAUUCCAGGUGUAGCGGUGAAAUGCGUAGAGAUCUGGAGGAAUACCGGUGGCGAAGGCGGCCCCCUGGACAAAGACUGACGCUCAGGUGCGAAAGCGUGGGGAGCAAACAGGAUUAGAUACCCGUGUAGUCCCUGUCUCUUAUAC
rnacentral:rRNA from 1 species